rnacentral:rRNA from 1 species
CCUACGGGAGGCAGCAGUGAGGAAUAUUGGUCAAUGGGAGAGAUCCUGAACCAGCCAAGCCGCGUGAGGGAAGACGGCCCUAUGGGUUGUAAACCUCUUUUGUCGGAGAACAAAACCCGGGACGUGUCCCGGACUGCGUGUAUCCGAAGAAAAAGCAUCGGCUAACUCCGUGCCAGCAGCCGCGGUAAUACGGAGGAUGCGAGCGUUAUCCGGAUUUGUUGGGGUUAAAGGGUGCGUAGGGGGUCCGUUAAGUCAGCGGGAAAGUUGCGGGGCUAAACCCCGUCGAGCCGUUGAAACUGGCAGACUUGAGUUGGCGAGAGGUACGCGGAAUGCGAGGUGUAGCGGUGAAAUGCAUAGAUAUCGCGCAGAAC